GCGAACGCUGGCGGCGUGCUUAACACAUGCAAGUCGAGCGAAGGUGUUUCAAGGGUAACCUUGAGAUACACUUAGCGGCGGACGGGUGAGUAAUACGUGGAUAACUUACCUCUAGGCCUGGGAUAACCCCGGGAAACUGGGGCUAAUACCUGAUAAGACCACAUUGUCUACGGACAAAGGGGUAAAAGGUGGCUGUGCAAACAGCUAUCGCCAAAAGAUAGGUUCACGUCCCAUCAGGCAGUGGUGAGGUAAUGGCUCACCAAACCAAAGACGGGUAGCCGGCCUUGGCGGGUGAACGGCCACACGGGGACUGAGACACGGCCCCGACUCCUACGGGAGGCAGCAGUGGGGAAUAUUGGGCAAUGGGCGCAAGCCUGACCCCAGCGACGUCGCGUUGGGGAAGAA
rnacentral:rRNA from 1 species